rnacentral:rRNA from 1 species
CGAAAGCCUGACGGAGCAACGCCGUCGUGAGGGACGAAGGCCUCUGGGCUGUAAACCUCUUUUCUCAAGGAAGAAGAUAUGACGGUACUUGAGGAAUAAGCCACGGCUAAUUCCGUGCCAGCAGCCGCGGUAAUACGGGAGUGGCAAGCGUUAUCCGGAAUUAUUGGGCGUAAAGCGUCCGCAGGCGGCUUUUCAAGUCUGCUGUUAAAGCGUGGAGCUUAACUCCAUCAUGGCAGUGGAAACUGAAAGGCUUGAGUAUGGUAGGGGCAGAGGGAAUUCCCGGUGUAGCGGUGAAAUGCGUAGAUAUCGGGAAGAACACCAGUGGCGAAGGCGCUCUGCUGGGCCAUUACUGACGCUCAUGGACGAAAGCCAGGGGAGCGAAAG